AAACGCAAAGAAACAACAAACAGCCAACAACAAUUCAAAUACAGCAGCACAGCAGCAACAACAACAACAACAACGACUCUCGUCGCAUCAUCAGCUGGAACUACCGAAAGUAUUUUUAUUAAUAACAAAUACAUUUCUCUCCUCGAUCCGAGCGAUAAUGUAAAAUCAGCUUGAACAGAAA
rnacentral:sRNA from 1 species